rnacentral:snRNA from 8 species
UUAUCAGUUUAAUAUCUGAUACGUCCCCCAUCGGGGGACUACAUAUUAAAUGGAUUUGUCGAACAGGGAGUCGGAAAUGGGGCUUGCUCCGUCCGCUCCACGCAUCGACCCGGUAUUGCAGUACCUCCGGGAAUGGUGCAACACUU